rnacentral:lncRNA from 1 species
CUAUGUUCAUUAUGCUUAUAUAGGUCUUCUAUCAUUUGAAUCUGAUCAUGAUUGAUGGUAUGAAAUGCGGAUGGAAUUUGAAUAACUGAGAUGGUAUGCAUACCUUGUGAAAGUUUCUGGUUGAUGGUUGUUGAUUAUAUGGGCUGGAAUGACUUGAAAAGUUCUGGCAGAGAGUGAACGAAUGCUCUCUCCUGCUUCUUGUUUGUUAAGGUCUUUAAGGGGUUGGAACUGAAAUAGAAUGUUGAUCUUUGCAUUAAUGCAGGUGGAAUUUAGAAGGUGAUGAAGAAAGUUGAAGAAAGCCUACUUCCUUGAAGUUUGGCAGUAGUGCAGUAAAUGAUUUCUUCCUCAAAUGUUUCGAGUGUUGGGGUACUACUGGAUUGGAGCAGCUUGAAGUCUUGGCAGAGUAGUUAAGCCAAGUCUCCCUUCUCCUUGUGAUUGCUGGUGCGAAAUGGAAGGAAUGGGUGAAGUGUUGGGGUAGUAUAAAGGGUGGAUGGAGGCUGCACACUUGAGUGUGCUAGAGGAUAGGUAGGAGGGGUGGGGAGAAUGGGAUUGGAGGAGUGGGGCGGCUGGCAUAGGGGAAAGGGAAUGGUGUUGCAGAUUUUUGCACACACAUACACAUUUCUUUUUAUCUACUUUUGAUGUAGUAGGGUAGUAUGGAGUAGGAGUAGGAAGGAUGAUGCUUGUAAAUGUAGAUGUGAUGGCAAUAAGUAAAAUUGUUCUAUCUUGAUAAAUCCAAAUCUGUAAUAAUGUAUCACUUGAUCAAUGAAAUACUAGUUCCGGG